rnacentral:rRNA from 1 species
CCUACGGGUGGCAGCAGUGGGGAAUAUUGGACAAUGGGGGCAACCCUGAUCCAGCCAUGCCGCGUGUGUGAAGAAGGCCCUCGGGUUGUAAAGCACUUUCAGUGAGGAAGAACGCCUGGUGGUUAAUACCCAUCAGGAAAGACAUCACUCACAGAAGAAGCACCGGCUAACUCCGUGCCAGCAGCCGCGGUAAUACGGAGGGUGCGAGCGUUAAUCGGAAUUACUGGGCGUAAAGCGCGCGUAGGUGGCUUGAUAAGCCGGUUGUGAAAGCCCCGGGCUCAACCUGGGAACGGCAUCCGGAACUGUCGAGCUAGAGUGCAGAAGAGGAAGGUAGAAUUCCCGGUGUAGCGGGGAAUUGCGUAGAGAUCGGGAGGAAAACCGGUGGCGAAGGCGGCCUUCUGGACUGACCCUGCCACGGAGGUGCGAAAGCGUGGGUAGCAAACAGGAUUAGAUACCCGUGUAGUC